ACGGGGACCCGCACAAGCGGUGGAUGAUGUGGAUUAAUUCGAUGCAACGCGAAGAACCUUACCUACCCUUGACAUGUCCGGAACUUGCCAGAGAUGGCUUGGUGCCCGAAAGGGAAUCGGAACACAGGUGCUGCAUGGCUGUCGUCAGCUCGUGUCGUGAGAUGUUGGGUUAAGUCCCGCAACGAGCGCAACCCUUAUCAUUAGUUGCUACGCAAGGGCACUCUAAUGAGACUGCCGGUGACAAGCCGGAGGAAGGUGGGGAUGACGUCAAGUCCUCAUGGCCCUUAUGGGUAGGGCUUCACACGUCAUACAAUGGUCGGUACAGAGGGUUGCCAAGCCGCGAGGCGGAGCCAAUCCCACAAAGCCGAUCGUAGUCCGGAUUGUUCUCUGCAACUCGAGAGCAUGAAGUCGGAAUCGCUAGUAAUCGCAGGUCAGCAUACUGCGGUGAAUACGUUCCCGGGUCUU
rnacentral:rRNA from 1 species